AAUAAAGACUAGUAUGAAAGGCAUCACGAGAACUAAACUGUCUCCCUUUUCUAAUCAGUGAACCUAAUCUCCCCGUGAAGAAGCGGGGAUUUUUUAAUAAGACGAGAAGACCCUAUGGAGCUUAAAAUAUCAUAACACCUGACACCCUUACCCCCCCCCCCAAGAUGAUUAUGUAUUUUUGGUUGGGGUGACCGCGGAGAAAAACCCAUCCUCCGCGAUAAAAGAGCCCCCCUCCCCAACAAGCUACAGCUUUAUGUAUUAGAAAACUAACCCAAUUGACCCAAUAUAUUGAUUAACGAACUAAGUUACCCUAGGGAUAACAGCGCAAUCCACUUCAAGAGCCCCUAUCGACAAGUGGGCUUACGACCUCGAUGUUGGAUCAGGGUAUCCCAGUGGUGCAGCCG
rnacentral:rRNA from 1 species